AGUUGAAGUAGAGCCUUUCUAAAUUGGGGAAGGGUUAUGUAGAGAAAGUGGAAAGCUCAAUAGGUUAAUUUUGGCGCUCAUCUCAAUUAGAUAAUUAAUGGAUAUAUGUGGAGCCAUAUUUGUACAAUGCAGAAAAUAUGGUCAGUCAUAUGAUAGUCAUGGCUGUGUAAUGUUCUUUUAAGGCAAGAACAUUAACUGUGUGAAUGUCUCCGGAGCAGCUUACAAGAAGGAUGAAGAGAUUAAACUAAGAAAGGUCAUUGAUGAUGAAUCUUCUUCUGAACUAUUGACAAUGGAGGAGGCUGUUCUUUUGUCCCGUCAAAUUUGUAGUUGGCUGUACUAGUUUUGUUUUUAUUUUAUUUCUGGAGGGUUACAUAGCUAUUCCCAUGAACCACAAAUUUUCACUCCGAUACAGAAAACAAAAGAGUUGUAAAUUAAUUAAGGUUAUCUUUGGAGUUUGCUUAAAGCUUGUGUUCAUCAAAGUGCU